rnacentral:misc_RNA from 1 species
GAAAUGCGAUAAGUAAUGCGAAUUGCAGAAUUCAGUGAAUCAUCGAAUCUUUGAACGCACAUUGCGCCCGCUAGUAUUCUGGCGGGCAUGCCUGUCUGAGCGUCAUUUCAACCCUCAUUCCCGGCUUCGUGUCGGGGAUGGUGUUGGGGAUCGGCCUCCCGGUUGCGGGCGGCCGGCCCCGAAAUAGAGUGGCGACCACGCCGUAGCCUCCUCUGCGUAGUAGUGAAAACCUCGCAGGCGGAGAGCGGUGCGGCCUGCCGUAAAACCCCCAACUCUUCUAAGGUUGACCUCAGAUCAGGUAGGAAUACCCGCUGAACUUAGGC